rnacentral:rRNA from 1 species
UACGUAGGGUGCGAGCGUUAAUCGGAAUUACUGGGCGUAAAGCGUGCGUAGGCGGUUCGUUAAGUUCGUUGUGAAAGCCCCGGGCUCAACCUGGGAACUGCAAUGGAAACUGGCGGGCUUGAGUGUGGCAGAGGGGGGUGGAAUUCCGCGUGUAGCAGUGAAAUGCGUAGAUAUGCGGAGGAACACCGAUGGCGAAGGCAAUCCCCUGGGCCUGCACCGACGCUCAGGCACGAAAGCAUGGGGAGCAAAAGGG